UUGAUUGAUUUGAAUCGGAGGACUUUGAAUAAAGGUUAUAAUUGAGUUAAACUAUCCGAAGGGAUGAUGAUAAUAUGUGGUUCAACUUGAUUAAAAUUCUAUACGCUUGUGAGCCUCAACUCAUGAAUUCGCAUUGGUCAAAUAAUAAGAAAAUCGUAACGGCAUCCAUGGCAAUAAACUUAACCGCAUUGAAGCGAGAAGAGGAAGAACUUACCGAUAUCGCCGCGGAGGAAAAUAGUGUGAAAUCCCCCGAUUGCGGAAUUGCGGUAAAUCUUCGGUUGCAGAGUGGUGAGAAGCAAAGAAAUCACAAGGAGAACCAAUGAUACAAGAUGAGGCGAUGGAAGCCAGAUCAACAAAACUCUGAUUGAGAGAUUGAGAGGAUGAAGGUUGAAGAAGAUUACAGGUUUUUGAGCAGCCAGAAAAAUGAUUGAAGGUGAGGUUGGAGGAGAUUGGUUGGCUGCAGAAUCGGAUUAUGGAUUUUUGGUGAAAGGAAAAAACUAUCUCUCCAAUGAAUCAUUUUUUCUUGUGGAAGUGCAUUGGAUUGGAUCAUGGCUUCGGAUUUGCUCGAUUCACCAACAUUCUUCCUUUGUCUUCGUCACGAGUUUCACACUUUUUGGAAACAACAUGAAGCUCAUAUUGAAUUUCUGUUCUUUGCUGAUGCGAGUGGAUAACGUGUUAGGUCUCUCUCCAUCACGAACCGUUUUCAAGCAAUGUUUUGAUUCCCUUAACUGAAAAUUCUGCCAAGUAAGAAAAACAGUUAUUUUGAGUGAACGCGAUAGCUACUAAUUGGUUUGUCGUUCACUUAUUAAUGCUUGGUGCAUGUUUGUUGCACGACUUCGAUAAAGCUUGUUAGUUUUGCUUGAUGGGUAGCUGACUGUAGGGUGAUUUAAUAAAUAAGUUAUUGUGUAUGUUGCAGGUCCGGCUCAAGGAAAUGGUUUAUUGGCUUAUUGGAAUCGUUUUUUUUUGCAUUCUGCAGGUUAGAGGCGAUUGAAACUAGUUAGUUUGUUCCUGUUUUGGCUUGCUACUUCUAUGGUUUGUUGCAGAAUCUGUUUUCAUGUGCAGUUAGCUUAUUAGGCCGUGACGCCGUUAACUCUUAUAGAUUGUUGGGUUGUGAUGCAGGUUAAUUGGCUUAAUUUACUACAGGUGGAACGUCAUGGAUUUAAUGUCGUUAUUUUGUGUUGUUGUGUAUGCAUUUGCCAUGGUAUGCUCAUGUGAUGCUUUUGUUUUGAAUUUUCUGGCGCUUUUGUCAUGGUUGUUAAUGAUGGUUAAUGAGCUUUGUUAAAUCCUGUUAGUUGUUAGUUGAAUGAGAUUAGCUACCUUGAGUUAGUUAUUAUGUAUUGCACUUCACUUGGUGACAAAUUAAUGGAGUUAGUCUUGAAAUGUUAAUGUGGUUGUUAGUUAGUGAAAUCGAGUUAGUAUCGUCAUGAGAAAUUGUUUGAUACUGAAAGUGAAUUGUUAGUUGCAAUGCUUCUAGAUGAAUGUCGGUGCAUGACUGUUAGCAUGUAUGGUGCUAGGAUGAAUUAAAUUGGAUUUAUGACAUGGCUAUGUUAUGAAUGUGAACUAAAACGUGAUUUAAAUUACAUGGUACAGGUUGAAACCUGCUCAAGGCCGAGACUUGCUCAUGCUGCGGCGGAUCACAUCCUUGAUGUCACUUGGUUCAUGUUGGGUUUAUCUUUAGUCAUGUCAUAUUUUGUUUGUGAGGUGUAAGGAUUAUGUUAGGUAUCAUAAAGAAUUAGUGUAGGUCUUGGAACCCUUUGUAAAAACAACAAGCAGUGUCACAUUUCAAUGCCAAUUCUAGCAAUGUAUUAGAUGUGGAAUUUUGUAUGAAUAAGUUUGUAAUGGAAAUGUGGGAAAUUGAAUGGAUUUAUGUAAUGUAAUGUGUAUUGAAUCAAAAUUUUGGAUUUUGGUUGUGAAA